rnacentral:rRNA from 1 species
UACGAAGGGGGCUAGCGUUGUUCGGAAUUACUGGGCGUAAAGGGCGCGUAGGCGGCGUGUCAAGUCAGGCGUGAAAGCCCCGGGCUCAACCUGGGAACCGCGCUUGAGACUGGCAUGCUCGAGUUCGGGAGAGGAUGGUGGAAUUCCCAGUGUAGAGGUGAAAUUCGUAGAUAUCGGGAGGAACACCGGUGGCGAAGGCGGCGACCUGGGUCGAGACUGACGCUGAGGCGCGAAAGCGUGGGGAGCAAACAGG